GAGAAAAUACCAGGGGAACAUUUACAGAGAGUAGAGGAACUGGUGGAGUGUCUUCAGGAACCUGCUCUUGACCUUCUGCUGGAGUCUCUGAGAUCCAAGCAACCACAUGGAAAACUUCAAAGAAAAAUGGGAAUUGGUUUCAGACUUGGGAAAACUCAAAAAAGUAUUUUUUUUAAUCAAAUGAGACAUUUCAAAGGAAUAUAGGAAGAAAAUGGAGGAAAACUGAAACAAAAGUCAUGAAAAUAAUGCAAAAAGAAAAUAUCAAAAGUAAAAUUGGUCAACUGAAAAAAGAGGCAUGAAAAUCCAAAGAAGAAAAAAAUUUUUUUUAUUAAAAACAGAAUUGACCUACUGGAUAAACAAACAAACAAACAAACAAUGAAGAAAUGAGUUCCAUGAAAAAUAGAAUGAACCAAAUGAAAAAAGAAGAUCAAAAGGUCAAGUAAAAAAUUCAUUCUCUUAAAAUUAGAAACUAAUGAUUUAAUAAGACAUCAAGAAACAAUAAAAAAAUCAAAAGAAUGAAAAACAAUAAGAAGAAAAUAUGAAAUAUGUAUUU